UAUAAUCCAGCCGCAAAUAACAAUAAGCUUCAUGAUAUUAAUUGCCAAGAUCUUACAAAGAAGACUGAAGCGGCGUGUGAUUGUCACCUAAACAUGAACGAGAGUCUCCCCAAUAAUCAUCACUCACGCUUCGGGAGCAAUAACUUGGAAAUGAGUUCCACGACUGGAGCUCCAAAAGUGAGCUCGGCAGGAUCUUCAACAGUUAAGCACUCAUCGAUUCAGCCUCUACCUUGUGAUCAUCAUCACCACACGUCCUAUAAUCCUGUUCACAUCCCUGAGCGGAAGUUACCGCCACAACGUGGAUCCUCAAAUGUGUACAACGAAGCGAUUGAAGGUAACAACAACGCAGUGAAUUACAGUGUGAAUGGAAGUGGAUCAGGUAGUGGUCACGGAAGCAAUGAUCCAUAUGGAAGUAGCAAUGGCAUGAAUGCUGGAGGAGGGAUGAAUACGGGCAGUGCUAAUGGUGCUGGUGAUGGUAGUGGAAGUGGAAGUGGUAGUGGGAAUGUUGCAGAUGAAAAUAAGAUGUCUCAAAGAGAAGCUGCUUUGACAAAGUUCCGUCAGAAGAGAAAAGAGAGGUGCUUCAGAAAGAAGGUAACAACUUAAAAGCUUUUGAUUGUUAUUUCAAAACAUUUGCAUGUGUUAACUUAAACAUGUAGUCAUAUGAUUCAUAAAAAUGUGUUUUUCUUUUUCUCAGGUACGAUACCAAAGCAGGAAAAAACUAGCAGAACAACGCCCUCGUGUCCGUGGCCAGUUCGUGCGUAAAACAGCUGAUGCAACGAAUGAUAACGACAUAAAAAACGUUGAGGAUAGCUGACAGGAAGUUCUCUACAAAACCAACACUUAUCAGCUUUAAAAAAAAUGGUAACCUUCUCAUCAUCUUUGUUGGGACCUAUCAGUAAAUCAAUCUAUCUAUCACCUGUUUUUUUAACAAACUUUCAUUACCCUCAAAAGUCUGAUUCUUUGAUACUACUACUACUACAACUAUUCCACGAAACAAGGACACGACUUGUUAUGGUCUGGUUUGUGGAUUCAGGAGAAAAGGAUUUGGUUCAUGAGUUGUGUAGAUGUUGUAAACUUGUAAAGCAAUAACCACUGGUUGUAUAUUUUUUUUGUAUAAGCUUUGUUGUUGAAGCCGAGUAGGAUACAGUCUCGUAUUUUUGUAUCAGCAUCAUCUCUUCUUCUAGUAUUAUAUGGCAUGUGUAUUGCAAAAUUACAAAAAAAAAAACUAUUAGUUUCAGCAUUUCUAUUACAAAUAUUCUUUCUUUUUAACACAUUUGUUAGAAAGAAUAAUCUCUUAUCUGGAAACCAUUUGAUUGCUUUAAGAAAAUUAUUAAAGGUGUAAUUUUCAUGGGUAGUUGAUGGAUGAUACGACGUUCGAAAUUAAUUUUCAUAAAAGGCAAAAGUCAAACACGUUAUACAUUAAUUUGUAUCACAAAGCAUUUAAAUUUAGAAAGAAAAUAAUAAAAAACCGAAAAAUCCAGCGAUUGGCGUACUCUUUUCCAUUUUCAAAGUUGUGAGCUUUUCUCUCUCUCUGCUCUCUUGCUUUCGAGAUCAAUCGAAAGGAAGGAAGAAUCAUCGGAAGAAGAAGGAGAUAGAGGAGCUGAUGGGUUGGAUCCCGUGCUCUGGGAAAUCGAGUGGGAAGACUAAGAAGAGGAGCAACAGUGACGAAAACCUCAGCAGAAAUUGUUCUGUCUCUGCUUCAGGUACUGUUGUCAAGAACGAUGCUCCCAAUUACAUCAUUUUUUUUUAUUCUGGUUUUAACCCUUCUAGGACACAAUUAUAGAAAUCAGUAAGCUUUUGUCAUUACAUCGCUGUCUGAUUCCGAUGAGCUACUGUUUGGUAAUGCUGAUUAGGGUUUUUGACUUUUUUUUUUUGGAAAGAUUUUGAUUCCUUCGAUUAGUAGCUUGUUUUGAUCCACUUGUGCUACUAUUACAAGUAUCUUGCUCUCAUUUGCUUUACUUGAGCUCGUGUUGGUAUUGUCUUUCACUAGUUUUAGUGUAAUGGGUCUGUCACUGUUUACUGGCCUUUUUGCUAUUAAAGAUGAUAACUUUUAAUUAUUGUCUCAUGAAGAUUACUUUGGUUUGUUGAUCCUACUGUGUAAAGCAUUGAUCUUGAGACACACUUGUGCUCAGCUUGUGUCGAGUACUUAUUUCUUCUGGCUUUCUUUCUUUUUGUUGUUGGUAGAGAGAUCUAAGGCCAAAUCGUCUUUGAGUGAAUCCAAAAGCAGAGGGUCUGAUAACAUUGUGGCACAAACGUUUACAUUCUCUGAGCUAGCUACCGCCACUAGAAACUUCAGGAAAGAAUGUCUUAUAGGAGAAGGAGGAUUCGGUAGAGUUUACAAAGGUUACUUAGCAAGCACUGACCAGGUUCGUUCCUUUUUUUUUCUUCAAAUUUUUAAAGUCAUUAGUAGUUAGUGAAAGCUCACUGAUAUUAUAUUCUUCAUUUUGUAGACAGCGGCUAUCAAGCAGCUUGAUCAUAAUGGUUUACAAGGAAACAGAGAGUUCCUCGUUGAGGUUCUCAUGUUGCGUCUUCUUCAUCACCCAAAUCUAGUUAACCUUAUUGGUUAUUGCGCUGAUGGAGAUCAAAGGCUUCUCGUCUAUGAAUACAUGCCUCUAGGGUCACUUGAAGAUCAUUUGCACGGUAUGCCUUUGAAUCUACAUUUUGGAUGGUUUAAAAGUCUAUAAAUUUGCUUUUUUUCUUUCUCCAGACAUUUCACCUGGUAAGCAGCCACUUGACUGGAACACUAGAAUGAAAAUAGCAGCAGGUGCUGCAAAAGGAUUAGAGUAUCUGCACGACAAAACCAUGCCUCCAGUGAUCUACCGUGAUUUGAAAUGCUCCAACAUUUUGCUCGGAGAUGACUACUUCCCGAAGCUAUCUGACUUCGGUUUGGCUAAACUCGGCCCAGUGGGUGACAAGUCUCAUGUCUCCACUCGGGUUAUGGGAACAUACGGAUACUGUGCUCCCGAGUACGCAAUGACAGGGCAGCUAACACUCAAAUCAGACGUUUAUAGCUUCGGUGUGGUUCUUUUGGAGAUCAUAACGGGGAGGAAAGCCAUAGACAACUCGAGAUGUACUGGAGAACAGAAUCUGGUUGCGUGGGUGAGAACAGUAACAGAACAAACUUUGUUUUCUCUCUAUAGAUUCGUCAUUCUAAUUGUCUCUGUUUCAGGCAAGGCCUCUGUUUAAAGACAGGAGGAAAUUCUCACAAAUGGCUGAUCCAAUGAUUCAAGGUCAAUACCCUCCGAGAGGAUUGUACCAAGCCCUUGCUGUGGCGGCAAUGUGCGUGCAAGAGCAGCCAAAUCUAAGGCCUGUUAUCGCUGAUGUUGUCACUGCACUCACUUACCUCGCUUCCCAGAGGUUUGAUCCUAUGGCUCAGCCAGUCCAAGGCUCCCUUUUCGCUCCUGGGACUCCACCUAGAUCAAAAAGGGCCUGAGAACCGCAAUGCCUCGUCAGUUAUUUACACUAGACCUUCCCGAGCUGUCUUUUUUAUUGGGAUGUGUGUCAGACUAAGCAUGAAAGUGUUUCUUAAGAGUUGUUUGUAGAUAUGUGUAAGAAGAGAGAGUUUUCACAUAGAGGCCAGUUUGUAAUGUUGUUAUAGUUGAUGGAUCUACACAUGUUAUGUUUAUGUAGCAACUGCUUUGUAAUGUGACAAUAUAUCAUUAUAUGGUAUUCAGCAAUGUAUCUGUUUCAUUCCAGAAUUAUUAUACUAUAUACUUUACCUCCGGGAAAUUAAAAAAAAAAAAAAUCGGUGGCUUACGGUCGUCUCCGAUUUCAACUCUCAGAGAGACUUAAAAAAACCUCUGAAUCAAAAUCCUUCAUCACUCUCUUUUUUACUUUGCUCUUUCUCAGCUCAGAUUCUUCGUUGCGGGAUUAGUUUAUUGUAAGAUCAGCUCCUGCUUAUUCCUCUGUUUGUGAUUAGUUUCGAUUUGGAAUUUUUCGAUUUGAUGAUUCUGUAGAAACUUACUUGAUUGCUGAGUGAGUUUCUGUGUGUCAAUUAUAGUUUAGGAGAAGGAAGUGCUUUAAUUAUUUUGAUUCGUUUGAACGCAGUGAAGCAGGAUUGGUGUGAUGAAUGGUGAUGAGAACGGUGAGGGUGAGGGGCAUAGUGGAGGAGAAGAUAAAGCCAAUGGAGUCCCUAUGGAUGUGAGAAAUGGGGCUGGCCAAGGCUCCUCACCUGGAUUGCAAGUUCCACUGUCGCAGCAAACGCAGGCCACUGUUUGUUGGGAAAGGUUUCUUCAUGUCAGAACCAUCAGAGUGCUUCUCGUGGAAAAUGAUGACUGUACUCGUUAUAUCGUUACUGCCCUUCUUCGUAAUUGUAGCUAUGAAGGUCGGUCAGUUCUCAAGACUAUGACUUUACUUGUUGCAUACCACUAAUAGAUAAUGAGAAAGCAACUUUUAUUUAUGUCAGUUGUGGAGGUAGCGAAUGGUGUACAAGCUUGGAAGGUGUUGGAAGAUCUUAACAAUCAUAUUGAUAUUGUGUUGACUGAGGUGGUCAUGCCUUACUUAUCUGGUGUCGGCCUCUUAUGCAAGAUUUUGAAUCACAAAUCUCGCCGCAACAUCCCUGUCAUCAGUGAGUGUUUUCUCUCUUUUCGUUGCUUCAGGUUCUGUUAGUGAAGUAGGUGCUUUUAACUACAUUCCCCUGUGAGUGUUUUUUCUUUCGUUGCAGUGAUGUCGUCUCAUGACUCAAUGGGGCUGAUCUUUAAAUGCUUAUCAAAAGGAGCAGUUGACUUUCUCGUUAAACCGAUAAGGAAAAACGAGCUUAAAAUCCUUUGGCAACAUGUUUGGAGAAGAUGUCAAAGUGUAAGUCCCCUUUUGCUUGUAUCUGAAAAAUUGUUGGUAUUUAUUUUAUCUAAUUGUGAAUUGGUAUCUAUCUUUUGGUUUUCCUUGUUUCAUGUUCACAGUCUAGUGGCAGUGGAAGUGAAAGUGGAACACAUCAAACUCAAAAGUCCGUGAAAUCCAAGAAUAUUAUAAAAUCUGACAACGAUUCAGGACACAGUGGUGAGAAUGAGAAUGGGAGCAUUGGCCUGAACGCUAGUGAUGGAAGUAGUGAUGGGAGUGGUGCUCAGGUGAGAAAAAAUGCGCAAAGAUUUCUAGUUUAUUCCGAAGUUUUACUUUGCAAACGAUCAGGAUUUGAUUUUGAUAUAUCUUUUCUUCAGAGCUCUUGGACAAAAAAAGCUGUGGAAGUUGAUGACAGUCCACGAGCGGUGUCUCUAUGGGAUAGAGUUGAUAGCACAUGCGCACAAGUGGUACAUUCAAACCCCGAGUUUCCCAAUAAUCACUUGGUUGCAGCACCUGCUGAGAAGGAGACUCAAGAACAGGAUGAAAAAAUUGGUAAAUAAAGGAAGCUGUGAUCUCUCAGUUUCUUCCGUACUCUUCUUUAUAUUCAAACUUAAAAACAUGAUAGUGAACAUUUUUUUCCAUAAUUUCUGCAGAAGAUGUCACAAUGGGUAGAGACUUGGAGAUUAGUAUUCGUAGAAAUGAUGAUUCAAAAGAUGAGCCCCUAACUAAAACCACUGGCAUCCUGAGACAGGAGAAUUCAUUUGAAAAGAGCUCUAGCAAAUGGAAAUUGAAAGUUGGAAAAGGACCGUUGGAUCUCAACAGUGAAAGUCCUUCAAGUAAACAAAUGCAUGAAGAUGGAGGAUCGGGUUUCAAAGCUAUGUCUAGCCACCUUCAAGAUAACAGAGAACCGGAGGCGCCUAACCCACACUGCAAAACUUUAGAUACCGGUGAAGCUGCCGUCAAAACCUCUGAAGAGCUGAUGGACGUUGAACAUAGUUCAAAGAGGCAUCGUGGAACCAAAGAUGAUGGGACAAUAGUUAGAGAAGACCGCAAUGUGCUGAGGCGUUCAGAGGGGUCAGCUUUCUCAAGGUACUUAUCCUAAAAGCUCUGUUUUUUUUUAAUACAUAACCUUAGAAGGUUGUAUUGAAGACUUAUGAGAUCGAUUGUUGGACUUGUAAAGGUAUAAUCCAGCCGCAAAUAACAAUAAGCUUCAUGAUAUUAAUUGCCAAGAUCUUACAAAGAAGACUGAAGCGGCGUGUGAUUGUCACCUAAACAUGAACGAGAGUCUCCCCAAUAAUCAUCACUCACGCUUCGGGAGCAAUAACUUGGAAAUGAGUUCCACGACUGGAGCUCCAAAAGUGAGCUCGGCAGGAUCUUCAACAGUUAAGCACUCAUCGAUUCAGCCUCUACCUUGUGAUCAUCAUCACCACACGUCCUAUAAUCCUGUUCACAUCCCUGAGCGGAAGUUACCGCCACAACGUGGAUCCUCAAAUGUGUACAACGAAGCGAUUGAAGGUAACAACAACGCAGUGAAUUACAGUGUGAAUGGAAGUGGA
rnacentral:lncRNA from 1 species